rnacentral:lncRNA from 1 species
CAGGCUGAAAAUGUGAUACUUUGGCAGGCCCCAUCACAGGCUAGAAAUGUGGAACUAUAAUGUGCAGGCCCCGCCACAGGCUAAAAAUGUGAUAAUUUGGUUGCCCCACCACAGGCUGAGAAAUGUGACCGAGAUUUGACCCAAAGUCGGAAAGAUAAUUAAUCCGGAUCAAGUUGAAGAAAAGACAUUGAAACUAUAAUACA